rnacentral:rRNA from 1 species
GACGAACGCUGGCGGCAUGCCUAAUACAUGCAAGUCGAGCGAACAGAUGAAGUGCUUGCACUUCUGACGUUAGCGGCGAACGGGUGAGUAACACGUAAGGAAUCUACCUAUAAGCGGGGGAUAACAUUCGGAAACGGGUGCUAAUACCGCAUAAGCUCACGAUGUGCAAAUCCUCGUGAGAAAAGAUUUAUUGCUUUGAGAGGGGCCUGUGUCCGAUUAGCUUGUUGGUGGGGUAAUGGCCUACCAAGGCUGUGAUCGGUAGAUGGACUGAGAGGUUGACCAUCCACACUGGAACUGAGACACGGUCCAGACUCCUACGGGAGGCAGCAGUAGGGAAUCUUCCGCAAUGGACGAAAGUCUGACGGAGCAACGCCGCGUGAGUGAAGAAGGUUUUCGGAUCGUAAAACUCUGUUGUCAGAGAAGAACAAGUCGGAGAGUAACUGCUCCGGCCUUGACGGUAUCUGACCAGAAAGCCACGGCUAACUACGUGCCAGCCGCCGCAGUAA